UCUACGGGGGGCUGCAGUGGGGAAUAUUGGACAAUGGGCGAAAGCCUGAUCCAGCCAUGCCGCGUGUGUGAAGAAGGCCUUCGGGUUGUAAAGCACUUUCAGUGGGGAAGAAAGCCUUGGGGCUAAUACCCUCGAGGAAGGACAUCACCCACAGAAGAAGCACCGGCUAACUCCGUGCCAGCAGCCGCGGUAAUACGGAGGGUGCGAGCGUUAAUCGGAAUUACUGGGCGUAAAGCGCGCGUAGGCGGUCUGAUAAGCCGGUUGUGAAAGCCCCGAGCUCAACCUGGGAACGGCAUCCGGAACUGUCAGGCUAGAGUGCAGGAGAGGAAGGUAGAAUUCCCGGUGUAGCGGUGAAAUGCGUAGAGAUCGGGAGGAAUACCAGUGGCGAAGGCGGCCUUCUGGACUGACACUGACGCUGAGGUGCGAAAGCGUGGGUAGCAAACAGGAUUAGAUACCCGAGUAGUC
rnacentral:rRNA from 1 species